rnacentral:lncRNA from 1 species
UCAAAUUAAUAUUAUUAAAACCAUAAAUUAUCUUAAUAGCCACAUUCUACAUAAAUACUUCGGUCUGCCAAAAAAAACUAGGCGAGACCCGAAGCUCAGAAAAUUUACAACUGAUAUAUCUACUAUUUACUACUGCGGAGAAUCUAAGAUUUACCAUUUUACAUACCAAAUCAAAUACUUCACCCGAUGAUGAAGGAGUCGGGUUACUGAAUAAGAGUCGCGAGAGAACUAACAGUCACGAAUCUGAAAAACAAUAAAUGGAGACUGUCAGUCUCGAGAGUGAGUUAAAAUCAAAUAAUCUAGGGACUAUUGCUUCUUCUCAGAAAACAUAGAUUAUUCAAAUCAUACUAUAAUCAUACCCUACUAUUUCCUUCACAUAAAAUAUUAAUCAUUCGAAUCAAAAUAUCAACCAUGCACGUAAAUACAAUCCAUAUUAUAAUCAUACCACAAUAAAUUAAUAAAUGAAUAAAUAAAAAUAUAUUUUUACUUUUACGGGACGAGUGGCUCGGUAGAACCCUAAACCCCAAAAUCUAGUAGCCAUUCGGCUCUCUUAAUCCAAUAAGACUGGCGCCCCGAGAGCAAUGCUCGACCAGGGACCUUACCUCCAGUCUGGUCACUUAGAUAUCCAAAUAAGAAAUCUAGUAGCCAUUCGGCUCUCUUAAUCCAAUAAGACUGGCGCCCCGAGAGCAAUGCUCGACCAGGGACCUUACCUCCAGUCUGGUCACUUAAAUAUCCAAAUAAGCCGGCGCCCCGAGAGCAAUGCUCGACUAGGGACCUUACCUCCGGCAAUUUACACAAAUCAGCCUAGAGAGCCAUGCUCGACCAGGGCAAACCCAUAAAUAUCUUAUUACAUGUCCAUGAUCAUUACCGGUGCGCACGCGGUCCUGAUGUAACCCAUCAGGCGGCAUGUUCUACAAGCCACAUUUCCCAAUUCGCAAUCAUCACAUAUAAUAAAUAUCAUUAUCUGCUGAACUCAUCCAACACAUAUCGAAAUAAAGAUUAAAGAUUUAAGAUAAAAUAACGUGCAAUUUGUGAGGGGAAAAAUAAUAACGUUUGUCUUAUUAUAACAUACUAAUAAUCAUAUUAAGCACAAAUUCUAAAUAGCAUAUUAAAAUCAGACUAGCAA